UGUUCACCCUACAAGUCUUGUGCCCAAUAUUCUCUCCUUUCUAAAUUUUACAAAUCCUUUAAGACCCAACUCAACCAUGAAAGCUGAGGAAGUCAGUGCCAGUUACUGAGUAUUUGUGUGCAAAACAGUGCCUUAAGUACCCUAGUAUGUUUAUAACUAAAAAAAAAUUCACCUGACAAUUAGUAGAACUUUUUUUUUUAGUUUUUAAAGCAUUAUUUUAUUUGGUCAUUUUCAAUUAGUAGAACUUUUGACAAGCCUUGGGUUCAAAUGUGACCUCCCAUACUUCUUAGCUAUAUGACACCGGGCAAACCACUUAACCCCCAUUGCCUAGCUCUUACCACUCUUCUACUUUUGAACCAAUACACAGUGGGGUGUACACGGUAUUGCUUCCAGAAAAGCCUGUUAGGCAAUUAGUGGUGUGGAAUUGGAGUUCAGAGAACAGACUAAGACUAGAUAUCUAUACCUAAGUUAUCUGCAUAGAGAAUAGAGUUAAAUCCAUGGAGCUGAUAAGGUUACCUAGAGAGAGUUUAUAGGCAGAGAAGGUGGCCUUGGGAUACACCACAGGGUGUGCUAGAUCCAGGUCAAACUAACUUAAGAGAGCUAAUUGUUAAAUUUUCAGUGUGAACAUUUACAUUUUGAAAUCUGACAAACUCUCCAAAUCAGGAGUUUGGUUGAUUGUUUUGUUGAUUGUCUUAAGAAAACCGAGAGAAAAUGUUAAUGCAGAUUAAAUUUUAAAAUGGGUCCUGAACAUAUAUGUAUAAUUUUUGAGUGAUGGCUGUUAAAUAUUUACCAAACCACCCCUGGAUACAACCAUGGUUGUAGAUCCUGUGACAGUAUGGAGAAGCAGGAGAUUGUUGUGUCACAAAAAUGAAAGAGAGGGUGCUGAUGUCAGUGUCACAGAGUGGGUGAUCAAGAAGUUCAGGUACUAUACCCUCACUACCACCUUCCAUCUUGUCUCUACUACCAUCUUGGGCAUCAAUGUUCUGUCUAUAGUUUUCUGAAAAUGUCAGAGUCAUCAUUUCCCCAAAAUGCAUUAGGCAGGCAGCACCCAUGAAUCUUCUUUGGCAAUUCGAUAGAAUAAUUCUAAUUGUGAAGUUCCUUAGGUCAAAUAUCCCCAAAGACCCCGGUAGCAUCAGUGCCACAAACCAGAGCUCCUUGUUUCCCUGUGUUAGAUCUAAUACAACACUAAAUGAAUUUCUUUCUAGUGUUACAGUUCCUGUCAACCUCUGGCCUCAAGGAAACUUGCCUAGAAGUAUGGAAUUCACAACCCUUCUCCUACAAGAUGUGCCCCAUUCUCCCUACCUACCAGGUGGAGAAAGGGGAAUGUUAGCUUUUGCACUAAGGACCUCUUUCUCAGAGCCAAGCUGCUCCACCUGCCCUUCAAAAUUCUGGAAUAUCCUGACAGAUCAAGCACACAGAAGAUUACAAGAUGUAUCAGUUGAAGACAUGACCACAAGGGCUAUGACUGAAAUCAAAUUGAAUGAUUCCCCUGAGACUGAAGAACAAGAGGGAAGUCUUCAAUCAUUUAGCAAAUGAUUGGUUAUGCCAAGAAGAAAGGAUGGGUCCUGGGCACCAGCAACUACUACAGCUUCAAGCAUCAGCAGCAAAAGCCAAAGGACACAGCCAUCCACUUGAUAGAGCUGCUCAGGCAGGUCGUUGAGUAUGUAAGGCAGCUGGAGAUGGCUGUAUGAGCCAAUCCAGCAAGGGAAGAAACAUUUAAAAGGGAGUAAUUAUUUCAUACAAUAAAUGAUAUGAGA